rnacentral:rRNA from 1 species
GACGAACGCUGGCGGCGUGCUUAACACAUGCAAGUCGAACGGAAAGGCCCUGCUUUUGUGGGGUUCUCGAUUGGCGAACGGGUGAGUAACACGUGUGUAACCUGCCCUUUACUUUUGGAUAACUUCAGGAAACUGGGGCUAAUACCGGAUAGGAUCUCCUGCUGCAUGGUGGGGGUUGGAAAUUUUCGGCGGUUGGGGAUGGACUGGCGGCUUAUCAGCUUGUUGGUGGGGUAGUGGCUUACCAAGGCUUUGACGGGUAGCCGGCCUGAGAGGGUGACCGGCAACAUUGGGACUGAGAUACGGCCCAGACUACUACGGGAGGCAGCAGGGGGGAAUAUUGCAAAAUGGGCGGAAGCCUGAUGCAGCAACGCAGCGUGCGGGAUGACGGCCUUCGGGUUGUAAACCGAUUUCGACUGUGACGAAGCGUGAGUGACGGUAAUGGGUAAAGAAGCACCGGCUAACUACGUG